rnacentral:rRNA from 1 species
AACGAACGCUGGCGGCAUGCCUAACACAUGCAAGUCGAACGAGACCUUCGGGUCUAGUGGCGCACGGGUGCGUAACGCGUGGGAACCUGCCCUUAGGUUCGGAAUAACUCCCCGAAAGGGGUGCUAAUACCGGAUAAUGUCUUCGGACCAAAGAUUUAUCGCCUUUGGAUGGGCCCGCGUUGGAUUAGCUAGUUGGUAGGGUAAAAGCCUACCAAGGCGACGAUCCAUAGCUGGUCUGAGAGGAUGAUCAGCCACACUGGGACUGAGACACGGCCCAGACUCCUACGGGAGGCAGCAGUGGGGAAUAUUGGACGGUGGGCGAAAGCCUGAUCCAGCAAUGCCGCGUGAGUGAUGAAGGCCUUAGGGUUGUAAAGCUCUUUUACCCGGGAUGAUAAUGACAGUACCGGGAGAAUAAGCUCCGGCUAACUCCGUG